UGGGGAAUAUUGCACAAUGGGCGCAAGCCUGAUGCAGCAACGCCGCGUGAGGGACGACGGCCUUCGGGUUGUAAACCUCUUUUAGUAGGGAAGAAGCGAAAGUGACGGUACCUGCAGAAAAAGCACCGGCUAACUACGUGCCAGCAGCCGCGGUAAUACGUAGGGUGCGAGCGUUGUCCGGAAUUAUUGGGCGUAAAGAGCUCGUAGGCGGUCUGUCGCGUCUGCUGUGAAAACCCGAGGCUCAACCUCGGGCCUGCAGUGGGUACGGGCAGACUAGAGUGCGGUAGGGGAGAAUGGAAUUCCUGGUGUAGCGGUGGAAUGCGCAGAUAUCAGGAGGAACACCGAUGGCGAAGGCAGUUCUCUGGGCCGUAACUGACGCUGAGGAGCGAAAGCGUGGGGAGCGAACAGGAUUAGAUACCCUGGUAGUCCACGCCGUAAACGUUGGGCGCUAGAUGUGGGGCACCAUUCCACGGUUUCCGUGUCGCAGCUAACGCAUUAAGCGCCCCGCCUGGGGAGUACGGCCGCAAGGCUAAAACUGCAAAGGAAUUGACGGGGUCAUAGCUG
rnacentral:rRNA from 1 species